UACGGAGGGUGCGAGCGUUACUCGGAAUUACUGGGCGUAAAGGGCGCGUAGGCGGCCGCGCAAGUCUGGUGUGAAAGCCCAGGGCUUAACCCUGGAAGGGCACUGGAAACUGUGCGGCUUGAGUGCCGGAGAGGAGGGGGGAAUUCCCGGUGUAGAGGUGAAAUGCGUAGAUAUCGGGAGGAAUACCGGUGGCGAAGGCGCCCCUCUGGACGGUAACUGACGCUGAGGCGCGAAAGCGUGGGGAGCAAACAGG
rnacentral:rRNA from 1 species